rfam:Nocardiopsis flavescens strain CGMCC 4.5723 genome assembly, contig: Ga0104439_105
GCCGGUCCUCGGUAGUGGCUCCCGGAAGGUCCCGUCACGGGACCCCGUGGGCUUCGAUCGAUGACCGGC